rnacentral:misc_RNA from 1 species
GGGGACUCUGCUUCAGAUAUUCACAAAGCCUGUAGGGGAUAGGCCUACAAUUUUUCUCGAAAUAAUUCAGAGAAUAGGGUGCAUGCUGAAAAACGAGGAAGGAGAGCUUUAUCAGAAGGGUGGAUGUGGAGGCUUCGGAAAGGGAAAUUUCUCAGAGCUCUUUAAAUCCAUCGAAGAAUAUGAAAAGACACUUGAAGCUAAACAAAACACUCAAGUAGCGAUUGCUUGAGCAUGUACUCGUCUCACCACCCUGUAUAAUCGACGUUAAGGAUGAGACACUGGAGUUGCAGCAUAGCUUCUGUUUUAUGUCUCAUUAUAAAUGAAAAAUAGUUUUACAUGUAUAUGUUUAAAGCAUCUGCUAUUGUACAAAGAGACGUUGAUUAUUUAAUGGGAAGAAGCACAGCCAAGAUAUGAUUGGC